rnacentral:rRNA from 1 species
AGUGAACGCUGGCGGUAGGCCUAACACAUGCAAGUCGAACGGCAGCACAGUAAGAGCUUGCUCUUACGGGUGGCGAGUGGCGGACGGGUGAGGAAUACAUCUGAAUCUACUUUUUCGUGGGGGAUAACGUAGGGAGACUUACGCUAAUACCGCAUACGACCUACGGGUGAAAGCAGGGGAUCUUCGGACCUUGCGCGAUUGAAUGAGCCGAUGUCGGAUUAGCUAGUUGGCGGGGUAAAGGCCCACCAAGGCGACGAUCCGUAGCUGGUCUGAGAGGAUGAUCAGCCACACUGGAACUGAGACACGGUCCAGACUCCUACGGGAGGCAGCAGUGGGGAAUAUUGGACAAUGGGCGCAAGCCUGAUCCAGCCAUACCGCGUGGGUGAAGAAGGCCUUCGGGUUGUAAAGCCCUUUUGUUGGGAAAGAAAAGCAGCAGGUUAAUACCCCGCUGUUCUGACGGUACCCAAAGAAUAAGCACCGGCUAACUUCGUG